rnacentral:rRNA from 1 species
UACGAAGGGGGCUAGCGUUGCUCGGAAUCACUGGGCGUAAAGGGUGCGUAGGCGGGUCUUUAAGUCAGGGGUGAAAUCCUGGAGCUCAACUCCAGAACUGCCUUGAUACUGAAGAUCUUGAGUUCGGGAGAGGUGAGUGGAACUGCGAGUGUAGAGGUGAAAUUCGUAGAUAUUCGCAAGAACACCAGUGGCGAAGGCGGACUCACUGGCCCGGUACUGACGCUGAGGUGCGAAAGCG